GAUGAACGCUGACAGAAUGCUUAACACAUGCAAGUCAACUUGAACUUCGGUUUGGGUGGCGGACGGGUGAGUAACGCGUAAAGAACUUGCCUCACAGUUAGGGACAACAUUUGGAAACGAAUGCUAAUACCUGAUAUUAUGAUUUUAGGGCAUCCUAGAAUUAUGAAAGCUAUAUGCGCUGUGAGAGAGCUUUGCGUCCCAUUAGCUAGUUGGAGAGGUAACGGCUCACCAAGGCGAUGAUGGGUAGCCGGCCUGAGAGGGUGAACGGCCACAAGGGGACUGAGACACGGCCCUUACUCCUACGGGAGGCAGCAGUGGGGAAUAUUGGACAAUGGACCAAGAGUCUGAUCAAGCAAUUCUGUGUGCAAGAUGAAGUUUUUCGGAAUGUAAAGUGCUUUCAGUUGGGAAGAAAAAAAUGACGAUACCAACAGAAGAAGUGACGGCUAAAUACGUG
rnacentral:rRNA from 1 species